rnacentral:rRNA from 1 species
AAAUUGAAGAGUUUGAUCAUGGCUCAGAUUGAACGCUGGCGGCAGGCCUAACACAUGCAAGUCGAACGGUAACAGGAAGCAGCUUGCUGCUUCGCUGACGAGUGGCGGACGGGUGAGUAAUGUCUGGGAAACUGCCUGAUGGAGGGGGAUAACUACUGGAAACGGUGGCUAAUACCGCAUAACGUCGCAAGACCAAAGAGGGGGACCUUCGGGCCUCUUGCCAUCAGAUGUGCCCAGAUGGGAUUAGCUUGUUGGUGAGGUAACGGCUCACCAAGGCGACGAUCCCUAGCUGGUCUGAGAGGAUGACCAGCCACACUGGAACUGAGACACGGUCCAGACUCCUACGGGAGGCAGCAGUGGGGAAUAUUGCACAAUGGGCGCAAGCCUGAUGCAGCCAUGCCGCGUGUAUGAAGAAGGCCUUCGGGUUGUAAAGUACUUUCAGCGGGGAGGAAGGUGUUGCGGUUAAUAACCGCAGCAAUUGACGUUACCCGCAGAAGAAGCACCGGCUAACUCCGUGCCAGCAGCCGCGGUAAUACGGAGGGUGCAAGCGUUAAUCGGAAUUACUGGGCGUAAAGCGCACGCAGGCGGUCUGUCAAGUCGGAUGUGAAAUCCCCGGGCUCAACCUGGGAACUGCAUUCGAAACUGGCAGGCUUGAGUCUUGUAGAGGGGGGUAGAAUUCCAGGUGUAGCGGUGAAAUGCGUAGAGAUCUGGAGGAAUACCGGUGGCGAAGGCGGCCCCCUGGACAAAGACUGACGCUCAGGUGCGAAAGCGUGGGGAGCAAAC